CUGAUGGCCCUGAAGAUUGAAAUUCUCAGUUUAUCUGCAGAACAGGUACAGUAUAGCACAGGUAAUAAUCAUUCAAUAUACCCCAUCCCUGACCAGGAAUGACCACUUCUAAGGAUAUGAGGGAGGCUUCGGCUUCAUUUCCAUUUAGUCCUUUCCCUCU
rnacentral:sRNA from 1 species